rnacentral:rRNA from 1 species
UACGGGGGGGGCAAGCGUUGUUCGGAAUUACUGGGCGUAAAGGGCUCGUAGGCGGCCAACUAAGUCGGAUGUGAAAUCCCCAGGCUCAACCUGGGAACUGCAUCCGAUACUGGAUGGCUUGAAUUCGGGAGAGGGAUGCAGAAUUCCAGGUGUAGCGGUGAAAUGCGUAGAUAUCUGGAGGAAUACCGGUGGCGAAGGCGGCAUCCUGGACCGACACUGACGCUGAGGAGCGAAAGCCAGGGGAGCAAACGGG